rnacentral:misc_RNA from 1 species
CUGCCUGUAAGAUAAGAUUGAAGUGCUUAUCACACAUUGUGGAGUAUGUAGUGUGUGUGUGAGUAGUACCAGUCAGAACAGGGUCUCAUUGUUGGUGUAUGUAUUGGGGAGAACGAGCGUGGUGGUUGUCGCAGCUCAUCAUAUUUACAAAAUAUAGUAGCAACAAUGAAUACCAAAAAUGAACAAGUUGAAAAUAAAAGUUGCACUAGCGGCUCACCGGAGGCCUCGACUAAUACUACCCAUCAGUCCACUUGGCCUCCAACUCCCACCAGCACCACAAACAGCACUGCCACACUCACAGAGCACACAAUGCUGUCCCCAGGGGAGGAAAAUUUUGACACAUAUUUUGCUGACGAGAGGAUUCAUAUUCCUGAAGUUGAAAAUAAACUAUUCAGCUUUCGAAAGCUUUGGGCGUUUACGGGUCCAGGAUUUCUCAUGAGUAUCGCCUACCUUGACCCAGGAAACAUUGAGUCAGACCUACAGUCAGGAGCUGCUGCUAGCUAUAAGCUUCUUUGGGUGCUAAUGUGGGCAACUAUCCUUGGCCUAGUAAUGCAGCGUCUUUCUGCCCGUUUGGGCACGGUGACGGGCCUCCACUUGGCCGAGGUGUGCUACCGUUAUUAUCCACGUGUUCCCCGCAUCAUGGUCUGGAUCAUGGUUGAGAUUGCCAUCAUUGGAUCUGAUAUGCAAGAAGUUAUUGGAACCUCCAUUGCUCUUUACCUGCUGUCAAAUGAAGCAAUACCUUUGUGGGGCGGAGUUCUGAUCACCAUUAUAGACACCUUCACUUUUCUUGCUCUGGACCGCUAUGGGCUACGCAAGCUAGAGGCCUUCUUUGGCUUUCUCAUUUUUGUGAUGGCUGUUACAUUUGGGUACGAAUAUGGCGUUGCCAAGCCCGACCAGCUGCAGGUGCUGAAAGGACUGUUUAUCCCAGGGUGCUAUAAUUGUGACACACGGGCACUCCUUCAGGCUGUUGGCAUUGUCGGAGCUGUUAUAAUGCCUCAUAACCUAUAUUUGCAUUCUGCUCUUGUGAAGUCACGAGAUGUGGACCGCAAAAACAAAGAUGAUGUUAAGGAAGCCAACAAGUACUUCUUCAUUGAAGCUUGUAUUGCUCUUCUCUGUUCAUUCAUCAUCAAUGUGUUUGUGGUAGCAGUGUUUGCCAAAGGACUUUAUGGAGUCACUAAUCAAGAAGUCCAUGACAGCUGCGUAUCUGCCAACAGCACCCAUGCUAAAAUAUUCCCGGAGGAUGGUGAACUAGUAGAUGCUGACAUCUACAAAGCUGGAGUAUUCCUUGGGUGUACGUUUGGAGCAGCGUGUAUGUAUAUCUGGUCUAUAGGCAUUCUGGCAGCUGGGCAGAGCUCAACCAUGACUGGUACAUACGUUGGACAGUUUGUAAUGGAGGGCUUCCUGAACCUGCGGUGGAAACGUUGGCAGCGUGUUCUUCUUACCCGAACUAUUGCCAUUACUCCGACUUUCUUUAUUGCAUUUUACCAGAACAUCAAUGACCUCACUGGGAUGAAUGAUCUUCUGAAUGCUGUCAUGUCCCUUCAGUUGCCUUUUGCUCUGAUUCCAACUCUGACAUUCACCUCAUCAGAGCGUAUUAUGGGAGACUUCAAAAAUGGAUUGUUCACAAAAAUCUUGGCUUCCCUCUUGUCGCUAUUGGUGAUUGCCAUUAACAUGUGGUUUGUAGUCAAUUUCCUGGGCACUCGUCUUGACGGGCAGUGGUGGGCGUACCUUCUGGUGUGCGUGUGUGGGAUCAUGUACUUCAGCCUCAUAAUUUACCUGGCGUUGUUCCUCGCCAUUGCAUUUGGUUUUAAUUUCAGCUGCAGCUUGCCGCUUUCUGGACUUACGGGCAUGGAUGAAAUUAGUCCUACUUUGCAACAGAGCUUCGAAGGCUCGUAUCCAAGUAUCUAGGUGAGGUAUCCUACCAGUUGAGUGUUGGCGAUGACAUGACAGACAGCAUAUAUAGAAUUAUCAAGUGGAGCAACCCUCUCUAUGACUCGGGACUGGAUACUGAUGAUGAAUCUGUGGAUGUUGUGUGGACAAACCCUCUGUAUUGUGACACGCUUGACUCUGGCACAUGAAGGAAAUAUUCAAAUGCAUGGCACGAGGAUUCAAAAGGCUUCUUGCUAAUCUGAUACGCUUUGGGUCAUGGCAUGGGGUGGCUGCGGUGAAGUUCUUGUUAUUUCUGCUUUGUGCAUAGGCAAAUAACAUUGCAUGCUACUGGCUGCUUAAAGUCUUAAGUUAUUGAUUUUAAUCUUAUUGAACACCAAUUCUCCUCUCAUUUAAGACAAUGAAAGUACACAUUAGUUUGACUUGUAUUUACAGAGAUAAUUGUUUCUGUAAAACCCAUUAGUUAUUCAUUGUUCUGUCAUUAUUCAUUAUAAUCUGUUUUCUUUUAUAGCGAUACCAAUAAUUUUUGGUGCAAAACCUAAGGUUCUUAAUGACAUUGAAAUUGAGUAAAAUAUUUAAUCAAAUUUAAUGAACUGAGAGGAAAAUUAUCACCAAUUUAGCACUAAUGCCCUUUAACAAUACCCAUACACUAGUAUUUGAAUUUAACAAAGUUUCUAUUGUAUGCAUUACUGUUUUUAUAAGUGAAAUGUUAAUAGUUGCAUGUACUAGUUUUGUUUUUGUUACAUUUACUUUUUUUACUACUUUCAGAAUUUGAAGUACAAUAUGUACUUUAAAUCCUCCAUACCAAUUAACAAGUUUCUCUUCAUUACUUCAUGAAAAGUUACAUGCUCAGAUUUCUUAAUAUAUGCAAAGUUCUGGUCCUGUUGUAAUGUAGUUAUCUCGGUGAAAUUACAUUUAGUUCGGACAGCUUUGCCCAUUUGCAUUUUUUAAGUUUGUUAUUUAGCGUUUUGUAUGCUUGUGACUUGUGUUUUAUCGUAAUAUUGAAUAUAGCUGAAACGUUCUUCACAGAUCUCAAGACAUCAGAAUGGAAAUUUCACAUUAAAAUCUUUAAACCAAGUGGAAUAAUCCUCCAUCCAAGUUAUGGUAUAACUUGAAUUAUUUUUGGAAAUGUAAUCAACACUGUCCAGUACUUCAUGGUGAAUCACUAUAGAGCUCGGUAAAUUUUUAUAGUACAGCAAUAUUAGUUAUAAUUAAUGUAGGACUUUGAAAAUAUUUUUGUGUUCAUAUAAUACUCUUGUAUAGACACAGUUCAUUUGUUUUCUGUCUAUUGACUUUUAUCCAUGGGGUACCCUAUCUUCACAGUGUACACUUUGCUUUGGGUACCCUUUCUGUCCAUUGUAAAGUACUUAUUUGUUCUGGGUACCUGUUCUGUCCAGUAUACUGCUAGCUUUGGGUGCCUGUUUUGUCCAGUAUGCAAAUCUUUUUUCUGUGAGCUGCAAUCUGUUAUGGAUACCUUUCCAUUUACUAGACGUGUUUUUGAGCGAGUGCCAUUUGUUUUAUCUCAAGCAUGUGAAAUAACAUUGAGGUAAUUGAAACCAUCAUGAGCAGAAAAAAUGUUUGUUGCCAAAAAUUUUAAUGAGUGAAGAAGUGUUUAGUCCAUUAGGUAGCUUCAUUAUACAAACAUUACAUAACAUUUUGACAUUAUAUUUCAGAGAUGUAAAGUUUCUCAUUAGUUUAUCAUGGGAACUUGGAAAAUGUGUUCAGUUAAUUCAAGGCAAUAGAAAGAGCCCAAUUAGAUAGUGGGUAAAAGUAGCAAAUAAUUUAUUAACAUCCAUUUGAAGUCUUGUCUUCAUUGUAUUAAAUAAAAAAAAGAAAUAUUAUUGGAUGUUCAAAUCUUAGGACAAGAAAUGGGAUGAAACAAAUUGAUGAAAACUUAAAAAUCAAUAUUUUUGUCUUCCAGUAAGACAGCGAGGAAGGAUAUUACCGAUGAUAUAGUAAAUCAUUUAAACAAGUCUGAUUCUGUUUGCUGCAUCAUUUCUGACUUCAGUGUUCUGUCUGUCUUUCAUAAUUAUGCAAUUAACAAUGGCAUAUACUGAGAUCUGUAUUCUGAUGAUAUUUUGUAUACACGAGCAUUAGUGGCUCUGGAAAGCUUAUGUCAUGGGUGCAGCAUUCUCUCUCUAUAUCUCUUUCUCUCUCAUAUAUUGUGUGUGUGCAUAAACUUGUCCAUACAAGCUGUGAUCUUUAUUUUAAAUUUGUAAAGGCUGUGAUUGGUGGUGGUAGACUUGCAUACUACUGAUUUUACUGAAUAAAUUCAAAAUUUUAUAUAUAUAUAUAAUAUAAUGUGUGUAUAUAUAUAUAUAAUACACAUACAUAUACAAUAUAAGUACUGUAUACAAAACCCUUGGGUAAUGGGUUGUAAUAUCCCGAGUUUACUGUUUACCCGAAUAUUAAAAAGACUUGAAACAGAGGUACUGUAUAUGGAAUAGCAAUUUUAAAACUUUAAUGGCAGUUACAAAUCCUCUUAGGUAACAGGUCUUAGCCUGUUAUCUAAGAAUGUGUGUUUGUAUAAAUGCUUAUAAAUUUUCAACACUUAAAUUGUUUAGUACUUUGAUUAAGAAUAAGAGCAAUUGCCAGGUCAGCAUCCUCCUUGGCAGUUGUAUGUCUUGAGUGGUUUGGUAGUGAAAUGUAAGGUGCACGCAAUGAAUGCCUUUUGAUGUUGAUCAGUCUUGGCCAGUUAACAUUUAAAAGUAUUUAGCAUUUGUCGCUUAGUUCAAUCCUUGACCCAGCACAGUCAUGUAGGUGUUGGAUCAUGAUCAAAAUAACACAUUUUUUUUUUUUAGCAAAGGAUCUGUGAUAGAGGGGCCAAUACCUGUGGUCUUUGUUAAUUGAAGUGCACACAGCUAACUCUUCACACACAACAAACUCUAUGUAUGUUUUUUUAUUUAAACUAUUAAUGUAUAAUUUUUAAAUGCUCAAAAUGUUUGUUUAAAAAUUCAAGAUGUGUAAAGUGGAAUCAGGUUUUUGAAGAUUACUGAACUGUAUUUUUAAUUGUAUAAUUACUGAAUUAACUAUUUAUAAUGUAAAUAUCAUGCAAAUGAUUUUAUUUUUAAAUAAAAUAGUUAUUUUUGUCACUUAGAAUUCAGACCACUAUGAACACUUGUUUCUGCUUAAUUUUAUUAUCAUAUCUUCACAUUAGGUAGUGAAAAUAAUGUUAACGGUUUAAAAAUCGACUAACUUUCGGUAAUAUUAAAAACGGUUUUAUUACUGAUUGUAGGUUUGAUAAAAACAUCAUUAACUUAAAUGUGCAGGGUGGCAAUGUAUCUAUGACUGUCUGGGGGAUUUAUUUCCUUUCUAAGCUACUGAGGAGCAACUUGUUAGGCACAGUGGGCCCACGAUCUGUACAAUUCUAGGAAAUCUUGUACAGAACAACCGUAAGUUUAUGUGGAGGGCUUGGUAAUGUUCCAGAGACCUCCAGUUUGAUUAUUUCUCCCCCACUCAUCUUGGUAAGGAAUUUGUUGUCAUGUAUUGUAUAUUUUGUUUGAAGUGAUGAUUUUGUUAACACUUGCCCAGAUGUAGUACAUUCUGGCUCAUUGUGAUUGAUAGAAGAAUUGCUGGAGAUUGUGUUUAUUUUGUGAGUGUGGAUAGUGGUUGGUUGUCUGAGGUUUCCACAGUUUUUUUACAUAUAUUGGGUCUUUACCUUCAUUCAAACACUGCCAUUGUAGUAAGUUACUUCAUUAUUAUUAUUAUUAUUAUUAUUUUUUGUUUCCCACCUGAAUUAAGCAAAUCAUUUUGAGGUCCAGAUUUUUAUAUUAGUGACAGUGCUUUAGUGAUACAAGAAACACCCAAAUAAACUCCCAUAACAAUAAUUAUCCCAUAACUAUCGCAUAAUAAUUAUCCCAUAACUAUCGCAUAAUAAUUAUCCCAUAACUAUCGCAUAAUAAUUAUCCCAAACUCCCAUAACACUAGGUUUUACUAUUAAAUACAUUUUUACUGUGACUUUUUAUUUAUUUUGUUGGCAUUCUUUUAAUAGUUUAUAUUAUACAAUUAUAUUGAUAGAACAUGGAUACUAGACGGGUAGAUCUUGGUCGCCCACAGAUUCACUGCUGGGAGAGAAGCAGAGAUUCCUCUAUCUGGCUUGACUGUGCUUUUGUUAUUAAUUCUGGAAUAUCCGCAAUGAGGUGUUGUCUCGCACACAAUGUUGCACAUGUAAACAUUGUUUUGUGUGUGUAUGCUGCCUGGAUUACCUCUCCAAUAUCUCUCCACACAGUAGAGUGCUGCUCUUUGUACUCUCUUCAAGCUGUUUCUCCUUACACCUUUUGUUUCUUUAAAAAAUUUUACUUAAAUAUUCCUCUUCCUUAUUUUCUCUCUAUUACACAUUUAGCUUUCUUCCCAACUGUUUCACUGUGUACUUAAAAACAAAAUUACUUUUCUAAUUGUUUUCUUGAUUAUUUUUGACAUUUUAAAAAAGCUUUUGAAGAAGCUUUGUGGCCAGUGUGAAAGUGAUAGUUUGUGAUGGUGGCUAGUUUUCAUUGUAAACCUUGAAAAUAUAAUAUAAUUGACUGUGAAUUAAUCUAAGUUGUUGCAGAGUUUGUAUCUCUUCUCUGCAUGUGUAGAGCGAAUAUCAGUGGGAGAUUGUUAAACCGUAUUAUGGUUUAUGAUACCAAAUGAUGUACAGUAGUGGGUGCCGGUUUGUGAUUUUUGCACAUAGUUUUUCCAAGCAUUGCCAUAUUAUUGUCAAGAAAUAAGGUGUAUCUUACGAUUCACCUUUACAUUGCACUUUCAAUUACUGUACUGUACUGUAAGAGCUCGCUAAUCCAAAUUCCGGCAAGCCAAAUCUUUGAGUAAUCCGAAUAAAUUUGAGUGAGUUUUUGACUGCUCGACUCUAAUCAAAAUUUGGAUUAUCUACAUUUCUGGAGCGCAGAAACCUAAAUAAAUUAAAAUGAUUAAAUUUUUGUACUAAAAUAUGUACUGUGUAAUAUAUAUAUAUAUUAUAUAUAUAAUAUAAUAUAAUAUAAUUAAAUUACCCCCGUACAUGUGAACAUUGCGACUAGUAGGUGCUAAAAUAACAAACUUUUACUUCUUCUAUUGGAACUUAAAAUAUUAGUUCUGUACAGCACUUAAUCUUAGCCCAUCCUUCUAAAAUGAGAGUAUAGUACUGUACUUGUGAUAUUACCCACAUAGUUACUAUGUCAUGAUGGACCAAUAGAAAGCAGAUUUGUAUUAUUGAUUCUGGACAAAUCAGGGAAAGUUUUUUUUUAUAUUUGUUGCUAAUGAAACUUAACCAAACCAUCCUAGGCCUAAUACACAUUAUAAGGUCUAAUAUAGUUCAUAUAUGUGCUUUACUAGGCCUAUGAAUUGUUAAUAUAGUUGAUAUAUAAAUGCUUUACUAGGCCUGUGAAUUGUUAAGUUUGGUUUUUAGCUUUAUUUUUCUUGGCUAUAAAAAUAAGCUGCAAAAUGUGGCUCACUGGAGCUCCAUUACUACAUAUUGGUACAAUUAACCACAUAGUUAUAAAAACAGUUGUAUCAUUUCAGGAGGAUGGGUUGUUCAUGGGUCCAUUCAGAGGUUUUUAAAUGAUGCCAUAGUUUGCAAAUAACGUGUAUCUUACGUGUGUGUGUGUGUUACAUAAAAUUAUAGAUCAUCAUCACUAUCAGAGUAAAUAAUGGCAGCUUUAUGGAAUUUUUAUAUUUAUUUUUACCUAGUGAUGCCCAAUUAAGAGAAUUUGUUUUAAUAUACUCCCAUGCUCUUAUUUAGUAAAUGCUGCUAUUUCAGUCAUUGUAUUAUUGAUAAAUUGAAAUGUUAUAUGCAUAUUCCUAUCUGCAUAUAUUCCUAUGCAGUUAGGAAUACUUGUAUGCUAUUAAUAGACUAAUCUUGAUUUUAUUAUUGGUUGAUUGCCAGAAAAUCUGAAGUGUAACAAAUGAUUUAGGACUAUAUUGCCCUAGGGAAACUUCAUUAUUUUAGCAUUAUGGGUAAGAAUCUUAUGGGGGGUCUUCAAGUGUUCAUAGUCUGUCUCGUGUGUGUGUGUGCCUAAUAAAAGUAAUCUCCCACAAUGUCGCCUUCGAUGGGGGAGGGUCAUCGUUAUUGUACCUGAGCGGUUUAUUGAUCGUUGUUAUACAGGCACUGGGAGAUACAAUUUGUGGAAUGUAUAGAAAGAAGUGAAGUGUUAGGUGCAGUGUUGUUGGAAACGGCAUUACUGAUGACAAUAAUAAUUAACAGCGCGAUACAAAAUAGUUACGAUCUGCAUGUUUGACAGGUAAUUUCUUGUGCAACAAAUAUUUAUUCACCAGCUUUCAUGUUAACUGCAAGGUUAAUGAAACAUUUUGCAUAAUGUUAUGUUUCAGUUAAGAUUUACAGUAUUUAGAUGUAUAUAAUAUCCAGUAAGAUUAUUGUCUAUAUACAGUAGGAUAUCUAAUAUAUUUUUUUUAGAUUUAAAAAAUAAAUCUGUUUUCCACUUGUGCUAUUGAGUAUGAGAAAAUAAGUUUUUUAAUGCAAGCAUUAUAAAAGACAAUAAAUUAAGCAAGCAUGUAUUUUGUAUCUUACCAAUUUUGUAUACAAACUUCCCUUUAUAUUGUCCAUUUUAUUGUGCCAUCAGCUUCCAAUAGGUUACCUACUAUUUUUGUAAUCUGAAUUACUUCACAGAAUUUUUAUAAAUGCAAUUUACUGUCUCCUAGAUUACACUGAUUGGAUGAGACACGUUACAUAUGUUCAAUCAUGAUUUUAUUCCUGUGGAUCAUAUUUGCUUGCAAAUGCUUCAAUAACUUCAAAGCAGUUGUCUUUGAAUUUCUUGAAUGCAUGGUUUUCUUGUGUAUUAAGAAUUCUAAUUAGAUGAAUUUGUUUAGUUUAGAUUUUGUUUUUAUUUGACUUAGGGAACAAUAUUAGCCAUUAUUGCCUCAGUGAAGUUACUUUUAAGUAUCUGAUAACUCACUCAAAUUGUGAUAUCAAAGUGGAUGAUUUUAUUUUAGGCUGGUCAUCAAAAAAUACAAUUUAUGACCAUACAUGAGAUACUGAAUGUAGGUUACAUGUACUUACAUUUUGCUAAAGUACUGUAAAGUAAAUCUGUAAAGUUGUUUUGCAGAUUAUAAGUAAUAUUUGUGUUUUGAUGAUGGCCUUGUCUGCUGUGCUGGGUGUUAGUGGCACCAGCAUAGCACUCUCAUGCACAGAAUCUCAUGCAGCAGACAUCAGUAGUGCUCUGCAUGUAACAGUUGUAUCUGAAUAAUAAAUCUUAUUAUUAU